GGCUGACCCGCUGCAGCCACAUCAUGUGAUGCAGAGAAAAGGAGAAGAAGGGGAUGGAUCAGCAAGGAGCAAAAGGACAAGAAGAAUAAGGGCAAGGGAGGUGGGGCGAUAUGCAUGUCCAUGGAGCGGCAGAGGGCAGCAAGUGGAGAAAGAUGAAGGCUGCACAACACCAAGACCAGCGAGGAGCAUGACGAUGCCCGAGUUCAGCCCCGUUGGAGUUAGCAUUUU